ACUUUAUACAGUAAAACUGCGAAUGGCUCAUUAAAUCAGUUAUCAUUUAUUUGAUAAUACCUUACUACUUGGAUAACCGUAGUAAUUCUAGAGCUAAUACAUGCUAAAAGGCACGACUUUUCGGAAGUGCUGCAUUUAUUAGAUACAAAACCAAUGCGACGGGGCAACCCGUUGUUUAGUGAUGAUUCAUAAUAACUUUGCGGAUCGCAUGCCCUCGCGGCGGCGACGCAUCAUUCAAAUUUCUGCCCUAUC
rnacentral:rRNA from 1 species